rnacentral:rRNA from 1 species
UACGUAGGGUGCGAGCGUUUGUCCGGAAUUAUUGGGCGUAAAGGGCUCGUAGGCGGUUUGUCGCGUCGGGAGUGAAAUCCACUGGCUUAACUGGUGGCUUGCUUUCGAUACGGGCAGACUGGAGGUAUGCAGGGGAGAACGGAAUUCCUGGUGUAGCGGUGAAAAUGCGCAGAUAUCAGGAGGAACACCGGUGGCGAAGGCGGUUCUCUGGGCAUGUCCUGACGCUGAGGAGCGAAAGUGUGGGGAGCAAACAGG